GACCAGACUCCUACGGGAGGCAGCAGUGGGGGAUAUUGCACAAUGGGGGAAACCCUGAUGCAGCGACGCCGCGUGGGCGAAGAAGUAUUUCGGUAUGUAAAGCCCUAUCAGCAGGGAAGAAGAAAUGACGGUACCUGAGUAAGAAGCACCGGCUAAAUACGUGCCAGCAGCCGCGGUAAUACGUAUGGUGCAAGCGUUAUCCGGAUUUACUGGGUGUAAAGGGAGCGUAGACGGCAAGGCAAGUCUGGAGUGAAAGCCCGUGGCCCAACCACGGGACUGCUUUGGAAACUGUGUUGCUGGAGUGCAGGAGGGGUAAGCGGAAUUCCUAGUGUAGCGGUGAAAUGCGUAGAUAUUAGGAGGAACACCAGUGGCGAAGGCGGCCUACUGGACGGUGACUGACGCUGAGGCUCGAAAGCGUGGGGAGCAAACAGGAUUAGAUACCCCCGUA
rnacentral:rRNA from 1 species